rnacentral:rRNA from 1 species
GGGUGCUAUCAUACCAGCACUAAUGCACCAGAUCCAAUUUGAACCUCGCAGUUAAGCGUGCUUGGGACAGAGUAGUACUAGGAUGGGGGACCUCGUUGGUAGACCUCGUGUUGCACCCC